GAAUUGGUUGUUCAGUGGUAGAAUUUUCGCCUGCCACGCGGGAGGCCUGGGUUCGAUUCCCGGCCAAUGCA